rnacentral:rRNA from 1 species
CCCUGCCAUUUGUACACACCGCCCGUCGUUGUUUCCGAUGAUGGUGCAAUACAGGUGAUCGGACCUGCGGACUCUGUCUUGCGGGGAAGUUCACCGAUAUUUCUUCAUUAGAGGAAGUAAAAGUCGUAACAAGG